rnacentral:rRNA from 1 species
GACGAACGCUGGCGGCGUGCCUAAUACAUGCAAGUAGGACGCAGUUGCGAACGGUAGAGUAACGCGUCGGUAACUGCCUAUUAGAGGGGGAUAACUAUUGGCAACGAUAGCUAAUACCGCAUACUAGUAGAUGGACCUGCGUUGUAUUUGCUAGUAGGUUGGGUAAUGGCCUACCUAGGCGACGAUACAUAGCCGACCGGAGGGGUGUAUCGGCCACACUGGGACUGAGGCACGGCCCAGACUCCUACGGGAGGCAGCAGUAGGGGAUCUUCGGCAAUGGGGGGAACCCUGACCGAGCAAAGCCGCGUGAGUGAAGAAGGUUUUCGGGUUGUAAAGCUCUGUUGUUAAGGAAGCGGUACUUAACCAGAAAGCGACGGCUAACUACGUGCCAGCAGCCGCGGUAAUAC